GUACGGCGAGUGANAGGAAGAGCUCAAAGUUGGAACCUGUUUGGCCUAGCUAAACCGGAUUGUAGACUGUAGAAGUGUUUUCCAGGCAAGCCGAGUAAAUAAGUCCUUUGGAACAGGGCAUCAUAGAGGGUGAGAAUCCCGUCUUUGGCUUGAGCAUUUGCCUUUUGUGAUACGCUUUCAAAGAGUCAGGUUGUUUGGGAAUGCAGCCUAAAUUGGGUGGUAAAUCUCACCUAAAGCUAAAUAUUGGCGAGAAACCGAUAGCGAACAAGUACCGUGAGGGAAAGAUGAAAAGAACUUUGAAAAGAGAGUUAAACAGUAUGUGAAAUUGUUAAAAGGGAACCGUUUGGAGCCAGACUGGCUUGUCUGUAAUCAAUCUAGGCUUCGGCCUGGAUGCACUUGCAGGCUAUGCCUGCCAACGACAAUUUGACUUGAGGGAAAAAACUAGGGGAAAUGUGGCCCACUUGUGGGUGUUAUAGUCCCUUAGAAAAUACCUUGGGUUGGAUUGAGGAACGCAGCGAAUGCUUAUUGGCGAGUUUUCCAGGAAGGUUUUCUGAGGUACUACGGUAUCAAGGUUGAUCUUUUUGGUUAUACUUCUAUUCGCUUAGGUUGUUGGCUUAAUGACUCUAAAUGACCCGUCUUGAA
rnacentral:rRNA from 1 species